rnacentral:tRNA from 2 species
GCCUAGCUGGCUCAGUUGGUAGAGCAUGCAACUCUCAAUCUCAAGGGUUGUGAGUUCAAGCCUCAUGUUGGGCA